GACGAACGCUGGCGGCGUGCUUAACACAUGCAAGUCGAACGGAAAGGCCCUGCUUGCAGGGUACUCGAGUGGCGAACGGGUGAGUAACACGUGGGUGAUCUGCCCUGCACUUCGGGAUAAGCCUGGGAAACUGGGUCUAAUACCGGAUAGGAGCCAUUUUUAGUGUGAUGGUUGGAAAGUUUUUUCGGUGUAGGAUGAGCUCGCGGCCUAUCAGCUUGUUGGUGGGGUAAUGGCCUACCAAGGCGGCGACGGGUAGCCGGCCUGAGAGGGUGGACGGCCACAUUGGGACUGAGAUACGGCCCAGACUCCUACGGGAGGCAGCAGUGGGGAAUAUUGCACAAUGGGCGGAAGCCUGAUGCAGCGACGCCGCGUGGGGGAUGACGGCCUUCGGGUUGUAAACUCCUUUCGCUAGGGACGAAGCUUUUUGUGACGGUACCUAGAAAAGAAGCACCGGCUAACUACGUG
rnacentral:rRNA from 1 species